rnacentral:lncRNA from 1 species
UUUUUUUCAUAACUAUUAGCUUUAAAAAUAUUGUUAUUUCGUGUAAAAAAUAUCUAUUUCGUUUACACUGCUUAAAACUCAUUUGUGAAUUUAUUAGACAUACCGUCGAUGCAUUAAAAGAAGUAAGAUACAAAUUUUACCUAAAAAGAGGGAUGCAACACGAGGACUUCCCAGGCGGUCACCCAUCCUAGUACUACUCUCGCCCAAGCACGCUUAGCUUCGUAGUUCUGAUGGCAUCCGGUGCGUUAGUGCUGGUAUGAUCGCAUCCGACAUUCCUUGCACUCUAAAUUCUCUUAAUACCUUUCCUCCUUCCGCUUUAAGUGCGAAGGUGUAAAACCUUAUAAUGACAUAACUUUAUACUCAUUUAUACGUUUUACGCAAUUCCUCUUUUGAUUUACACUAUUUUUUGCGGGUAAAGGCAUUGACCAACAACAACAAGUCGCACUCGACGAUAAUAUCACAAUUAAAGGGCUCGUAAGGCCUAGCAACUUGCCUAUCACAAUAGGCUGCAUGGAACGGCGACGUCGCAACUAGACGUUUUACGGAUGUCGCCUUUGAGGCCAAGGCAUAGUGACAUGUCUAGUGAAACAGUGUUAAGCCCGUAAAUAUUUUCCUUAUUUACUAUGUAUUGCUUUUUUGAUUUUUUUCAUAACUAUUAGCUUUAAAAAUUUUGUUAUUUCGUGUAAAAAAACAUCUAUUUCGUUUACACCGCUUAAAACUCAUUUGGGAGUUUAUUAGACAUACCGCCAAUACAUUAAAAGAAGUAAGAUACAAAUUUUGCCUAAAAAGAAGGAUGCAACACGAGGACUUCCCAGGGGGUCACCCAUCCCAGUACUACUCUCGCCCAUGCAUGCUUAGCUUCGGAGUUCUGUUGGGAUCCGGUGCGUUAGUGCUGGUAUGAUCGCAUCUGACAUUCCUUGCACUCUAAAUUCUCUUAAUACCUUUCCUCCUUCCGUUUUACGUGCGAAGGUGUAAAACCUUAAAACGACAUAACUUUACUCCCAUUUAUCCGGUUUGAGAAAUUCCUCUUUUGAUUUCAACUAUUUUUCGUGGGCAAAGGCAUUGAACAAUAACAACAAGCGGCGCUUGACGAUAAUAUCAGAAUUAGAGGGCCUGGAAAGCCUAGCUACAUGCCUAUCACACUAGGCCGCACGGAAUGACGACAUCAUAACUAGACGUUUUACGGAUGUUGCAUUCGAGGCCAAGGCAUAGUGAUGUGUCAAGUGCAACGGUGUUAAGCCCGUAAAUAUUUUCCUUAUUUACUAUAUAUUGAUUUUUUUAUUUUUUUCAUAACUAUUAGCUUUAAAAAUAUUUUUAUUUCAUGUAAAAAAUAUCUAUUUCGUUUACACUGCUUAAAACUUAUUUGUAAAUUUAUUAGACAUACCGUCGAUACAUUAAAAGUAGUAAGAUACAAAUUUUGCCUAAAAAGAGGGAUGCAAUAUGAGGACUUCGCAGGGGGUCGCCCAUCCUAGUACUACUCUCGCCCAAGCACGCUUAGCUUCGGAGUUCUGAUGGGAUCCGGUGCGUUAGUGAUGGUAUGAUCGCAUCCGACAUUCCUUGCACUCUAAAUUCUCUUAAUACCUUUCCUCCUUCCGCUUUAGCUGGGAAGGUGUAAAACCUUAAAACGACAUAACUUUACUCUCAUUUAUCCGGUUUGCGCAAUUUCUCUUUUGAUUUCAUCUAUUUUUCACGGGCAAAGGCAUUGACCAACAACAACAAGCUGCGCUCGAUGAUAAUAUCACAAUUAGAGGGCCCGUAAGGCCUAGCUACAUGCCUAUCACACUAGGCCGCAUGGAACGGCGAAGUCGCAACUAGACGUUUUACGGAUGUCGCCUUCGAGGCCAAGGCGUAGUGACGUGUCAAGUGUAACAGUGUUAAGACCGUAAAUGUUUUCCUUAUUUACUAUAUAUUGCUUUUUUGAUUUUUUUUCCAUAACUAUUAACUUUAAGAAUAUUAUUAUAUCGUGUAAAAAAAUAUCUAUUUCGUUUACACUGCUUAAAACUCAUUUGUGAAUUUAUUAGACAUAGCGCCGAUACAUUAAAAGAAGUAAGAUACAAAUUUUUCCUAAAAAGAGGGAUGCAACAUGAGGACUUCCCAGGGGGUCACCCAUCCUAGUACUACUCUCGCCCUAGCACGCUUAGCUUCGGAGUUCUGAUGGGAUCCGGUGUGUUAGUAAUGGUAUGAUCGCAUCCGACAUUCCUUACACUCUAAAUUCUCUUAAUACCUUUCCUCCUUCCGCUUUAGGUGCGAAGGUGUAAAACCUUAAAACGACAUAUGUAAUGACCCGACCGGUCGUUUUGAGAGUUAGAGCCCCGAACCCCUGUUAACUUCU